rnacentral:rRNA from 1 species
GCUUAACGCGAAGAACCUUACCGAGGCUUGACAUACACGAGAACGGGCCAGAAAUGGUCAACUCUUUGGACACUCGUGAACAGGUGGUGCAUGGUUGUCGUCAGCUCGUGUCGUGAGAUGUUGGGUUAAGUCCCGCAACGAGCGCAACCCUCGUUCUAUGUUGCCAGCACGUAAUGGUGGGAACUCAUGGGAUACUGCCGGGGUCAACUCGGAGGAAGGUGGGGAUGACGUCAAAUCAUCAUGCCCCUUAUGUCUUGGGCUUCACGCAUGCUACAAUGGCCGGUACAAUGGGCUGCGAUACCGUAAGGUGGAGCGAAUCCCAAAAAGCCGGUCCCAGUUCGGAUUGAGGUCUGCAACUCGACCUCAUGAAGUCGGAGUCGCUAGUAAUCGCAGAUCAGCAACGCUGCGGUGAAUACGUUCCCGGGUCUUGUACACACCG